CCUACGUGAGACAGCAGUGAGGAAUAUUGGUCAAUGGACGAGAGUCUGAACCAGCCAAGUAGCGUGAAGGAUGACUGCCCUAUGGGUUGUAAACUUCUUUUAUAUGGGAAUAAAAUGUUCCACGUGUGGGAUUUUGUAUGUACCAUAUGAAUAAGGAUCGGCUAACUCCGUGCCAGCAGCCGCGGUAAUACGGAGGAUCCGAGCGUUAUCCGGAUUUAUUGGGUUUAAAGGGAGCGUAGGUGGAUUGUUAAGUCAGUUGUGAAAGUUUGCGGCUCAACCGUAAAAUUGCAGUUGAAACUGGCAGUCUUGAGUACAGUAGAGGUGGGCGGAAUUCGUGGUGUAGCGGUGAAAUGCUUAGAUAUCACGAAGAACUCCGAUUACGAAGGCAGCUCACUGGACUGCAACUGACACUGAGGCUCGAAAGUGUGGGUAUCAAACAGGAUUAGAUACCCCGGUAGUC
rnacentral:rRNA from 1 species